GGGCGUGGUAAUAAAUAAGGGCGUGACCGUGACUUGCAUAUGGCCGAUUAAUUGGUCUCUCACAUGACUAGCUUUGUUUAAAUCUUGUUUAUUCAUCGCUCUUGAAAGAGAAGACAGAAAGACAGCAGAGGAUUUACAGAAUGGCCACUGGUUAUCGUGAGUUCGAUGACUUUGCUCACUCUACUGUUUCGAGGCCCUCUAAUCCUCAGAUUGCUCGUAACUUACAAGAAGUAGAGGAAAACGUACAACACUUCAAUAACAAUGUUCGUACACUCGAGAAUAAAUCUAAUCUUUUGAAUUCGAGAGACGAUUCGCCAAAAUUAAGAGACGAACUGGAAUAUUCCUACCGGCUGUGAUGAUACCCACAAUUAGCGAUUCAAAGAGAUUCCUCUAUCACCACUGGUACUGACCCGUCUGUAAUCCAAUCUGUGAACAAGAUAGUGCGGGAAA